rnacentral:rRNA from 1 species
GAUGAACGCUGGCGGCGUGCCUAAUACAUGCAAGUCGAGCGAACAGACGAGGAGCUUGCUCCUCUGACGUUAGCGGCGGACGGGUGAGUAACACGUGGAUAACCUACCUAUAAGACUGGGAUAACUUCGGGAAACCGGAGCUAAUACCGGAUAAUAUAUUGAACCGCAUGGUUCAAUAGUGAAAGACGGUUUUGCUGUCACUUAUAGAUGGAUCCGCGCCGCAUUAGCUAGUUGGUAAGGUAACAGCUUACCACGGCAACGAUGCGUAGCCGACCUGAGAGGGGGAUCGGCCACACUGGAACGGGGACGCGGUCCAGACUCCUACGGGAGGCAGCAGUAGGGAAUCGUCCGCAAUGGGCGAAAGCCUGACGGAGCAACGCCGCGUGAGUGAUGAAGGUCUUCGGAUCGUAAAACUCUGUUAUUAGGGAAGAACAAAUGUGUAAGUAACUAUGCACGUCUUGACGGUACCUAAUCAGAAAGCCACGGCUAACUACGUG